UCCCUGAUGGCUCAGAUGGUAAAGCGUCUGCCUACAAUGCAGGAGACCCGAGUUUGAUCCCUGGGUGGGGAA
rnacentral:tRNA from 1 species